UCCCAUAACAUUUGAAUGCACCACACACCUCACCCCCUUCAGAUGUGUCAUGAAUCUUCAAGGUUUGAGCUCCUCAGCUCGUGGGGGUCGACUCUCGGCACCACACCGAUCUGCUCAUAAAGCUCCGCCUCUUUAGGGUACAUCGGAAUUUGAAUAUCCCAAUCAGGUUGCUGCAACAGUGGACAUUGGGCGGGGCAGUGGCUCUUUCUGGAAGUACUUUUGACAGGCUUCUGGACGGCAGUGAGCGAUGAACCAGAAUACAGCGAACAGGAGACCCGCCAUGAUGAUCACAGUCGCCGUCGCAGUGGUUGGACUCUUCCAUGUGGCGUCUGGACCUGCAGACCCCAAAGAGGAUUGAGAAACAUCAUCUCACAAAGAGAAUGACCAAUGAUGGUGUUUUUAAUGUCCUUUAUAAGGGAUUAGAGGAAACGUUCUUAAAUACUAAAAUUCUUUCGAACAUCAAUUUAAUCUUAAUCGUAAUCCUUAACAUUCACUGUAUCUUCCAAAUGUAUGUUACUGUUGACUAAGGCUAAAUAUUCCUGGGGAAACACCACCAGGGAGUUCAGGCCUAAAGAGGAUCAAUAUCACAAAUUU